rnacentral:lncRNA from 1 species
UUUUUUUUUUUUUUUUUUUGGCCAGGCAGAAUUUCCCAGGCCAGGGACUGAAUGUACACCACAGCAGUAACGAUGCUGGAUCCUUAGCCAUUAGGCCACCAGGGAACUCCUAAAAGGCUAUUUCAAACCUCCUCCACUUUACCCAAGCCUUGGAGCCCACUACCUCCCGCUUCUCCUCCUCCACUCCAAAAAUCUCACCUCCUGCUUCAGAGAGAAUGAAGCCAGAAUGCCUUCUGCUUCCUCCUUCCUCUAUCCUCAAGCCAACAUGCAGCCCAGAUCAGGAGUCCAUCCAUUCCUGACUUCCCAGCACAGACUCUGCUCUGUUAACUCUCUCUUCUGCCCUCAAACCCACCUCUCUUACCAGCUCCACCCCACCAUCACUUGAACAUGCAAGAGUGCCAUCUUGGAAAAAAAAAAAAAUCCUUCUUCAAACCUAGAGCCUGCUCUAUCAUUCUUUUCUUCACAGCCAAGCUUUCUAAGACAUCUCUCCCAUCGUCUCUCCCUCCACUAACUAGGGCUUCUUUCUCCGAACCCCCAGUGAAACUCACACCAGCACGGUCUCCGCUACCAGAUUCCACCAAUACAUUUCAGAUCCCCUUCCCUUACUCCCCCAGACCACCCUCUCUCAGCUUCCUAGGGUCACACCCACUCCUGAUUUUCCUUACUUCUGGCUAGCCAACCUCCUCCCUCCCCGACCAACCCAUUCACUGCUUUUCAAACUCUACGUCUUCAACCUGCAUCAGGAAAUAAACUCAGAGCAGGGUUUUCCAACCUGGGCACUGCUGACAUUUCAGCUGCCUGAUUCUUUGUUGUGGGGGCCAUCCUUCCCAUGCCUUAUAAGCUGCUUAGUAGCAUUCCAGGCGUCUACUCAUUCAAUGCCAGUCAUGACCACAAACACAUCUUCAGACAUGGCCAAACUGGCAUCCCUCCCAUGUGAGAACCACUAGCUUAGAGGGUUACAACCCAACUACCUUUUUUUUAAAGAAAAUGAAAUAAAAAAGAAACUACCAGAGUAUAUAUCUCCUAAAAAAAAUACGACCUUUCAUGACACUUCUGUCUCUAUGUUUUGUUGCAUCUGUUUCUGUGUAUACAUGCAGAAUAUAAAGUAUUUCUUUCUGUGGGUCAGAGUCAGAACACUUUAAAUCCCACUGAUUCACAUGUUGGUGGCCCCAAGGUUCUGUCCUGGGCUCCCUUCCUUUUAAAAUCACCCAGCUGUGCAAAAAGGAAUAAAGAGGGGUUGCCUGGUGGCUCAGUGGGUUAAAGAUCUGGCAUUGUCACUGCUGGGGCUCGGGUCACUGCUAUGGCACAGGCUUGAUCCCUGGCCCAGGAACUUUCGCAUGCUGUGGGAGCAGCUAAAAAAAUAAAAAUAAAAAUUCAGACUCAACAAAAGUGAUUUAAAAAAAAAAAAAAAAGGCACAGAGGAGUUCCCAUCGUGGUACAGCAGGAACGAACCCCACUAGGAACCAUAAGGUUGUGGGUUCAAUCCCUGGCCUCGCUCAGUGGGUUAAGGAUCUGGCAUUGCCGUGAGCUGUGGCGUAGGUCGCAGACGCGGCUCAGAUCCUGCGUUGCUGUGGCUCUGGUGUAGGCCAGCAGCUGUAGCUCCGACUGGACCCCCUAGCCUGGGAACCUCCAUAUGUGCUGGGUUCGGCCUAAAAAGGUAAAAAAUAAAUUAAAUAAAUAAGUAAAUAAAUAAAUAUUUUAAAAGGCAUAAAGAGACAAACAAUAAACAGUCACACACUCAGCACCUGCUCAAGAAAACAAAGCAUUCUCAACCUGAUGACGGUACACAACCUGGGAGGUACCCCUCCCACACUCCUGGAGGAAACCACAACUCUAAUUUGGCAUUUUUCCCCUAACCAAUCUUACUAUAUUUGGAUGUGAGUCCUCAAAUGAUGUAUAAUAACACCAUGUCGCUCAGUUUACAAUAUUUUAGAACACCACGUUUUAUGCACUCUUCUGCAAUUGGCUUUUUUCCCGCUAAUAUGUUUGUGGGAUUCAUGCACAUUUGCACCUGCUGUUCUAAAUCACGAUUUAUUCACUUGUUCAUUCUUUGGUUGAUAGACACUUGCACUGCCCCCAUACCUGCAUGUGUAUAAUCAAUGCUGUGAUUAACUUUGAUGUGCGUCUAUUCUGUGCAAAUAUAUGACAGAGCUACUUGGCUUUGUGCUGGGGAUUAGAAUUACAGCCGUCCUAUAGGGUGUGCUCAUUAUGACCACUGCAUCAAACAAUUUGUUUUCUAUGGAGGUUGUACUCAUUUACAUUCCAAUCAGCAGAGGUUAGAGUACCCACUGCUUCACACCCUUGCCAUCACUUGUUGCUGAGAAUUGUUUUUGCUUUUUGUGGACAGAAAGGGUGUAGAAUUGUGUCAUUAUGGUUUUUUUUUUUUUUUAGAUUUGAUGUGGGUAUAAUUGAUUUACAACAUAUUAGCUUCACAUUUACAGCAAAGUGAAUCAGUUAUACAUCUACAAACAUCAGUUCUUUUUUCCAUAUAGGUUAUUACAGAAUAUUGAGGAGACCUUCCUGUGCUACACAGUAGGUCCUUGAUUGUCAUGCAUCUUAUAUAUAGCCAUGUGUAUGUAUGUGUUAAGCCCAUCCUCCCAAUUUAUUACCCCCCCCUGGUNUAAGCCCAUCCUCCCAAUUUAUUACCCCCCCCAAUGGUUUUCCCUUUUGGUAACCCUAAGUUUGAGUUGGAAAUCUGUGAGUUUGUUUCUGUUUUAUAAAUAAGUUAUUUGCAAUAAAUAUUUAUUAGAUUCCUCAGAUAAGUGAUCUCAUAUAAUUGUCUUUCUCUGUCUGACUUACUUAGUAUGAUCAUCCCCAGGUCCAUUCAUGUUGCUGUAAAUGGCAUUAUUUCCUUCCUUCUUAUGGCUGAGUAAUAUUCCAUCACAUAAGCACCACAUCAUCUUUAUCCAGUCCUCUGUCAAUGGACACUUAGGUUGCUUCCAUGUCUUGACUAUUGUACAUAGUACUGCAAUGAAUGUUAUGGUGUGAACUGCAUUUCUCUCAUGACCAGUACUGCGGACAGAGCUUGAUGAGUUUAGUGGCUAUUUCUGUUUCCCCUUCCCCAUAUUUUAUCAUGUGUACAUUUUUUAUUAGGAUGUUACCGCUGUCUAUUGAUAUUUAUCAGUUCUUCCGUAUAUGCUGAAGCCAAGCACUGCACCAAUGGGAAAGCAUCAUCAUAUCUGCUCCCCAACUGUGGGUAGGUCUUUCUCCCCUCCCUGGCCAUCUCCUCCGUUACCUUCUCCAUGGUAACCGCUGUCUCUCCUUACCUGCUGGCCAGAUUGCUUCUGCAGCCUCCAGAUUCACAGCCAUCUGCCUUCUGGCCCUGUGUCCUGCUGCCAAGUAUCUCAAACUCAACUGUCCCAAACCAAAUCUGUUACUCUCUCCCCACUCUGCACACCCUGUAUUCAUUCUCUGGCUGAGAAAAAACACUGCCAUUCAUUCCCCCAAUCAGGGAUCCUUUUUCUUCUCUUGUCUCCGUCUUAUUCAUCACCUAGUCCUGUUAAUUCAACUUCCUCGUUAAAGGGAUUCUUUUCACUGCCAUCUACUGCCAAGAUUAAAUUACCUUAUUUCUGAACACUUUCAUCUCUCAGUUGGACUGUAUUCCAUGGCCUCCCUGUUCCCAGCCCUUCGACUGCAAUAUAUUCUGUAAAAAAGACAGCCAGGUCUAGUAAUCUCACUAUUAUAAUUACCCAAGAGAAAUGAAAAUAUACAUUAAAAAAACAGAUUUGUACAAGAAUGUUUAUGGCACUCUGAUCCGUCAAAUCCAAAAACUAAAAACAACCCAAAUGUCCAACAGAAGAGUGAAAACUUAACUGUGGUUCAUCCAUACAGUGGAGUGCUACUCAGCUAUAAAAAGGAGUGACUACUUAUAAAUGCAACGAUGUGGAUGAGUUUCAAAUGAUGCUGAUUCACAAAAGCCAGACCAAAAAACAAAAAAAAGGGAGUUUCCUGGUGGUGCAGUGGGUUAAGGUUCUAGUGUUGUCACUGCUGUAGCACAGGUUCGAGCCCUGGCCUGGGAACUUUCACAUGCUGCGGGUGUGACCAAAAAGUCAGAAAGUGGCUGCAGGAGUUCCCGUCGUGGCGCAGUGGUUAACGAAUCUGACCAGGAACCAUGAGGUUGCGGGUUCGGUCCCUGCCCUUGCUCAGUGGGUUAACGAUCUGGCGUUGCCGUGAGCUGUGGUGUAGGUUGCAGAUGCGGCUCGGAUCCCGAGUUGCUGUGGCUCUGGCGUAGGCCGGUGGCUACAGCUCCGAUUCGACCCAUAGCCUGGGAACCUCCAUAUACCGCGGGAGCGGCCCAAAGAAAUUGCAAAAAGACAAAAAAAAAAAAAAAAAAA